GAUGAACGCUGGCGGCGUGCCUAAUACAUGCAAGUCGAGCGAACAGACAAGGAGCUUGCUCCUUUGACGUUAGCGGCAGACGGGUGAGUAACACGUGGGUAACCUACCUAUAAGACUGGGAUAACUUCGGGAAACCGGAGCUAAUACCGGAUAAUAUUUCGAACCGCAUGGUUCGAUAGUGAAAGAUGGUUUUGCUAUCACUUAUAGAUGGACCCGCGCCGUAUUAGCUAGUUGGUAAGGUAACGGCUUACCAAGGCGACGAUACGUAGCCGACCUGAGAGGGUGAUCGGCCACACUGGAACUGAGACACGGUCCAGACUCCUACGGGAGGCAGCAGUAGGGAAUCUUCCGCAAUGGGCGAAAGCCUGACGGAGCAACGCCGCGUGAGUGAUGAAGGUCUUCGGAUCGUAAAACUCUGUUAUUAGGGAAGAACAUACGUGUAAGUAACUAUGCACGUCUUGACGGUACCUAAUCAGAAAGCCACGGCUAACUACGUGCCAGCAGCCGCGGUAAUACGUAGGUGGCAAGCGUUAUCCGGAAUUAUUGGGCGUAAAGCGCGCGUAGGCGGUUUUUUAAGUCUGAUGUGAAAGCCCACGGCUCAACCGUGGAGGGUCAUUGGAAACUGGAAAACUUGAGUGCAGAAGAGGAAAGUGGAAUUCCAUGUGUAGCGGUGAAAUGCGCAGAGAUAUGGAGGAACACCAGUGGCGAAGGCGACUUUCUGGUCUGUAACUGACGCUGAUGUGCGAAAGCGUGGGGAUCAAACAGGAUUAGAUACCCUGGUAGUCCACGCCGUAAACGAUGAGUGCUAAGUGUUAGGGGGUUUCCGCCCCUUAGUGCUGCAGCUAACGCAUUAAGCACUCCGCCUGGGGAGUACGACCGCAAGGUUGAAACUCAAAGGAAUUGACGGGGACCCGCACAAGCGGUGGAGCAUGUGGUUUAAUUCGAAGCAACGCGAAGAACCUUACCAAAUCUUGACAUCCUUUGACAACUCUAGAGAUAGAGCUUUCCCCUUCGGGGGACAAAGUGACAGGUGGUGCAUGGUUGUCGUCAGCUCGUGUCGUGAGAUGUUGGGUUAAGUCCCGCAACGAGCGCAACCCUUAAGCUUAGUUGCCAUCAUUAAGUUGGGCACUCUAAGUUGACUGCCGGUGACAAACCGGAGGAAGGUGGGGAUGACGUCAAAUCAUCAUGCCCCUUAUGAUUUGGGCUACACACGUGCUACAAUGGACAAUACAAAGGGCAGCGAAACCGCGAGGUCAAGCAAAUCCCAUAAAGUUGUUCUCAGUUCGGAUUGUAGUCUGCAACUCGACUACAUGAAGCUGGAAUCGCUAGUAAUCGUAGAUCAGCAUGCUACGGUGAAUACGUUCCCGGGUCU
rnacentral:rRNA from 1 species